AGCGAACGCUGGCGGCAGGCCUAACACAUGCAAGUCGAACGAAGUCUUCGGACUUAGUGGCGGACGGGUGAGUAACACGUGGGAACGUGCCUUUAGGUUCGGAAUAACUCAGGGAAACUUGUGCUAAUACCGAAUGUGCCCUUCGGGGGAAAGAUUUACCGCCUUUAGAGCGGCCCGCGUCUGAUUAGCUAGUUGGUGGGGUAAUGGCCCACCAAGGCUACGAUCAGUAGCUGGUCUGAGAGGAUGACCAGCCACAUUGGGACUGAGACACGGCCCAAACUCCUACGGGAGGCAGCAGUGGGGAAUCUUGCGCAAUGGGCGAAAGCCUGACGCAGCCAUGCCGCGUGGAUGAUGAAGGUCUUAGGAUUGUAAAAUCCUUUCACCGGGGACGAUAAUGACGGUACCCGGAGAAGAAGCCCCGGCUAACUUCGUGCCAGCAGCCGCAGUAACAC
rnacentral:rRNA from 1 species